rnacentral:tRNA from 1 species
GGGAGAGUUCCCGAGUGGCCAAAGGGGGCAGACUGUAAAUCUGUUGCGCUUCGCUUCAAUGGUUCGAAUCCAUUCUCUCCCACCA